rnacentral:lncRNA from 1 species
AACUGCAGCGAGAGAAGAGGCUGGCAGCAUGGGUGGCAGGAGGCUUGGCAGCCUCACAGGAUGCCUGCAAAUACCUUUCACUUAUGCAGUUUGGCAGUGCAGUGGUGCAUGGAGACAGCGUCUUGGGCCUGGUAAGGAAAUAAUUGGCUUCAGAAGCAGACUUCUUAGGUUGCAGUCUUGAGACUGAGGCUUCAAACAGUGUGGGAAGGGCCGUGACAUUUCCAGAAACCCUUCUCUUUUGCUGGCCAACAGAUGGUGGCUCUAAAUCUGCAGUGCAGUCAGGUUAGAAAAGAAGAAAGUAUUUAGGGCGCUAGUAGAGCCAUUAUUUGAAUAGUAUGGAACAUAAUGGUUUCUUUGGUAACCAAGCCAGGGAGACACCCACACAAAGUUAGAAUGCGCUGGGCUCGUUUCUGUUCCCCACCCCACCCCCUAAUCCCACAAGAUUAAAAUAGUAUAAAGAGAAAAAUGAGAUGCAGCAGCAUUUCACACAAGAGGGGAUUUGUUCCCAACGAGAAUGUAUUAAUGACCUGUCUCUUAUUUUGUGGGCAACCAGAUAUAGCAGGUUUUUAGUUAUGAAUCUGUGUUCAUGGUCACUCAGAUGGUUUACUCUCUGCCCAGACUUCAGCACUUAUAUAUAGAUGGGGCACUGAGAAAUAUGAGAUAGGGAAAAAAGAGAAACAUUUAACCCAUUCCACACUGCACAUAUUCUUAGUGCUAACCAGGCGGAGGCAGCAUAGAAAAGGCAAAACGCGUUUGAAAGGAAACCAUUUGUCUUUGAAGAAUAAUUUCUCUUCAGCUCGAUGAGUAAUCUCUCUUCUAGCUGAUAAAGUUCCAAAUCCCUACUCUGGGUGAGGCUUUGAAAGUGUCAAAUAACAGGAUUCAGAUACAAAGAGUCAAAAGACCCCCUCAGAUUCAUACUGCCGUCCAGUAGAAUUUUCUGUGAUGAUGGAAAUAGUCUAUAUCUGAACUAUCCAAUGGAGAAAGCACUGGCCUCAUGAGGCUAUUUAUAUUUUAAUUUUAAGAAAUUUAAUUUAAUUUAAAAUUUAGUUCAUCGGUUUAAAUUAAAUAGCCAUAUGGGGCUAGUGGCUACUGGAUUGGAGAGUGCAGUUAGAAAUUCAGAAAGUGGAUGAUUUUCAUUACUGUAAAAUCACCAAAUAGUAAUUUUGUCCUUCUUGUUUCACUUUGCUAUUUUUUAUUCUGAUGUCAGCCUUGCUUGUCUGGAAGUCACCCCAUAGGUUACCAUAAGCAACAUUUUACUUAACUGUUCUAAUAAUAGUGUUUCCAGGGGCCCUGAGCACUCCGCAAACAUCAUCUCAUUAAUUCCUCCAAACUCCCAAUGGGACAGGUAUGGAGUACAGAUAAUUAUGUUUAAUUUUAUAAAAGAGAAAAACAAACAGUAGCCUCAAAAUGUAAAUUAUUCGCAGUAAAGGGCCUUCUGGAAUCCCAAUGUUACCUCGUUGGCCUUUCAUUGUCCUUUAUAGUAGGAACUUAGCGUUUUCUCCUAUCAGGGUGAACCAUUCAUCAAACAUGUUGGGAAUAAAUGAAAAACCUACUGCAUCUAGUUAUAGAUGGAAUAUGGUUUGCUUAACAUUAGGUUUAAGCAGCUAAAUAUUUCUUUCCUUCUCAUUUCUACUGUAAGACUUGAGACUAUACUUUACUCCUAGGUAACCAAGAUAAUUAGAAAUGUGCUGCUUGUCUAGAGUAGCAAAUCAUCCUCAACUUUUUUUGCCCUCUUUCAUGCCUCUUUCAAGGAUAUAAUACAUGUACUUUUUUUAAAAAAUGCUUCUUUAUACAUGGUGCUUAUGAGAGUGACCAGGAAGCAUAUGGUAAUAUGCUAACCAGACAGUCCUAGGAAUUGAGGAGCUCUAUGAAAUGCUUUGAUUUGUACAAUGGACAUUUAUGAAGCCCCUACUUUGAGUCAACAAGUGUGCCUGGGACUGUGGAUACAAAGUCGGUAAAACCAGACAAAAUUCCAACCCUUGCGUUUAAGAAGCUAAGAGACAUUGAUCAAAUAAUCAAGACAAUAUAUGUAAAAUUUCACCUAUAGCAGGUGCCGUGGUGGGAAGGUACCUGAGCUUGUAAUGGGGAGAGUUGACACAGUCAGGGAACCAGGGAUAACCUGUCUGAAAUUGGGGCCAAGAGCUAAAGGCUGAGUAGGAAUCAACUAGGUAGAGGGCAGGUUGAGCAGAGAGUUCUAGGUAGAAGAAGCAGCAUGUGCAAAACCCUGAGGUAACAUGGAGCACGGUGAACAUGAGGGACUGAAAGAAUGCUGUUUUUGUUUGUUUGUUUGUUUGUUUUUGAGACGGAGUCUCGCUCUGUCACCCAUGCUGGAGUGCAGUGGCGCAAUCUCGGCUCACUGCAACCUCCGCCUCGUGGGUUCAAGCGAUUCUCAUGCCUCAGCCUCCUGAGUAGCUGGGAUUACAGGUGCCUGCCACCACGCCCGGCUAAUUUUUGUAUUUUUAGUACAGACAAGGUUUCGCCAUGUUGGCCAGGCUGGUCUCAAACUCCUGACCUUAGGUGAUCCGCCUGCCUUGGCCCCCCAAAGUGCUGGGAUUACAGGCGUGAGCCACUGCGCCCGGCCAGAAGGCUGUUUUUGGGGAAACAUAUAGAGGAAAAGUGAGCAAGGUACAAGAUAGGAUUGGAGAGGUUGGCGGAAAGCAGACCAGGCAACACCCUCAGGCUACUUUAAGGAGCUAUGUUUUUACCUUACAAGCAAUGGGUUCCAUUGAAGGGUUAUUGGGUGGAGGUGGAGGGUGUAGCCCAUGAAAGAUGUACAUUUUCAAAAGAUCCCAUUGGUUUAUAUUGGAGAGUAGAGAACAGUUUGGAUCAUAGUUAUACCAGGAGGUGGUGAGGAGCAGGCUUAGAUUUGCAAAGACCAUUCAUUCUUUGCACCUGGAUUUAUUUUGAGCCUAUCAGGCAGCCUCAGAAGUUGUACUUAACCACAUUCCUCAUCUAUUGCAUGAUGUCUUUUGGUCUAUUAGGGUGCUCUUAUUUUUC